rnacentral:tRNA from 1 species
UCCUGGUUAGCCCAGCUGCUAGAGCGCUCCACUGGAAAUGAAGAUGUCCCUGGUUCAAUACCAAGACCAAGUG